rnacentral:misc_RNA from 1 species
UUUCUUUGGACCAAGUAUUUCCCGUGUUCGAAAUAUGAGUAAUAUUGUUACCAAGUUGAUCUACACCAAGCAACGGAAGACAGAGUCUGAAUAACGGCGUCCAAUCCUCCUUCCAUCUAUAUACAUUCUUCAGGAGGCUUACGAUUUUCGUCAUCAUAUCGGUCUCCAGAUCAAGAUGAAAUGCAAACAGCUUUAUUUAAUCUGCCAUCCCUACUCUUUUUUUAACUCGUCCAAUGAACUUUAAAAAUGGCGGAUAAGGAAGUACUCUACGAUUUAGUGUACAUCAUUUCCUGGUUCAAAGAGAUCGAAGUAAAUUAGCUACCGAAUUGUUAGAGACAUCAAAUACGUUCUGACAUGGGGUCGAUAUGCAGGCGAAUCUUCAGAUUCAAAUAUCUGGAUAUGAACAACAUGAACGGUUUAAUCAAUUCGACCUUGAACUCAAAUAAACUAUUCAGUAAAAUGGCAAACAAUGACCAGGAGCCAGCUCCUGUAUUCGUGAAAAAGGAUGAAGUACACGCCUUUGUAGUACGGUGUAUGGUUGCAGUCGGUGCAAAAAAGGAACACGCUGUAUCACUUUCAGAUCUUCUGGUAUCAGCCGAUUACCGCGGUCACUUUAGUCAUGGAUUGAACCGUCUAGCUAUGUACAUCAACGAUAUCAAGGGCGGCACCACUGUAGGUAACAAGGAACCUACGAUAGAAAAAGAGACUGUUGCCACUGCGUUUGUCAACGGAAAUAAUAUUCUAGGUCCCGUAGUAGGAAAGUUUUGUAUUGAACUUGCCAUAAAGAAAGCCAAAGAUGUCGGUAUAGGAUGGGUAUGUGCAAAAGGCUCUAAUCACUUUGGUAUUGCUGGAUGGUACAGUAUCAGAGCUGUAGAAGAAGGAAUGGUGGGUAUGGCCUAUUGCAACACAUCGCCUUUGGUUGUGCCAUGUCGAGCUAGAAAGCCUGCCUUGGGGACUAACCCUAUAUCGGUAGCAGCCCCUGCAAACAAUGAUGACAGCUUUGUCCUUGACAUGGCAACAUCCACAGUGGCAUUAGGAAAAAUAGAGCUUGCAAAACGUAAGGAGACCUCGAUGCCAAAUGGUUGGGGAGUAGAUAAAGAAGGACAGGAGAGCAACGACCCUGGGGCUGUACUUGAUGGAGGGGGACAGAUGCCACUCGGGGGAUCAGAGAUAUGCGGAGGUUAUAAAGGAUAUGGGUUAGCAAUGAUGGUAGAGCUAUUUUGUGGAAUACUCAGUGGAUCCAGCUUUGGACCCAACAUAAGAAAAUGGAAUACGGUGCAUCAAACAGAAGAAGCUAAUCUUGGCCAAUGUUUUGUUGCAAUCAACCCAGCAAUGUUUGCAGAUGGUUUCACUGACAGAAUGUCCACCUUGAACGACCAGAUGAGAGACUUACAACCGAUUGAAGGAGAAACAGAAGUUCUUGUGCCUGGUGAUCCAGAAAGAAAACACAUGCAACUGUGUGAUUCUGAAGGCGGAAUUCCAUACCAUCCUAACCAAAUAAAAUAUGCUACUGAGUUGGCACAAUCCCUGUCCGUUGAGGACCUUAAGACAAACUAGUGAUGUUAUAUUAUUAUUACAAGGACAUUUGCUCAAAUAAAAAGCCUGCAAAAUCAGGCAUAUAAUACAAAAUGUGGCAAUAAGUCUACCAAUGACACAUAUGUUUAUUAGAUAUAUUUAGCAUAAUAAAUCAUGUUUGGUAUAAUGAAUGUGACUACAUGAUUAACAUUUCAGUAUUGUAAUGCUUUUAUGAUUGAUUUAAACAUUAGCUCUGAAAUAAGAAAUAUAUUUUUUAUUGAACAUGC